rnacentral:tRNA from 1 species
GUCAGGAUGGCCGAGCGGUCUAAGGCGCUGCGUUCAGGUCGCAGUCCCCUGGAGGCGUGGGUUCGAAUCCCACUUCUGACA